AUGGAGCCGGUCUGGGCUCUGCUUACGGAUCAACUCACGGACGGCCAUACGGUGUCAAUGGGAGACAGUACGGCUCUCUCGGGAGACCGCAAGGUGUCUAUGGGAGACCGUCUGGCACCUACGGAAGGCCACGAAAUGUCUAUGGGAGGCCAUCGGAAAUCUACGGAAGACCAGACAGGGACUACGCGAGCGUGUGGAUCUCCUCGAUCGCGUUACACUCUACCGCUGAGGCUCGCAAACUCAAGAUCUCAAGAUGAUGCGCAUUCUCUUCUUCGUCAUCAUGAUCAGCACUUUUGCGCUGGCCACCACACAACUAUUCGGCAUCAAUAUCGGAAGUGGCUAUGGUGGCUACGGAACCGGUUACGGGUCGUAUUACGGGAGGCCCUACGGCUACUAUGGAAGACCCUACGGCAGGCCGUACGGUUACUAUGGAAGCUAUGUAGUCCCGAGGUAUCCCUACUACCCGAACUGGUAGGAGGCCGCGCGACGAAGUUACCGGGCGCUGAGUCCAACAGUGGUAUCUCCGAUCCAGCUCAAACACUUCACACUACACCGAUUUUCUCUCCACGCGAUCUUUUUCUGGUCCCAUAUCACCAAUCAAGAAUUGAUCUCUUCUGAAGUAUUCGUUUUGCUCGUCCUAUCCUUCCCAGGA